rnacentral:rRNA from 1 species
UACGUAGGGAGCGAGCGUUGUCCGGAUUUACUGGGUGUAAAGGGUGCGUAGGCGGGCUUGCAAGUCAGAAGUGAAAUCUAUGGGCUUAACCCAUAAACUGCUUUUGAAACUGUGAGUCUUGAGUGAAGUAGAGGUAGGCGGAAUUCCCGGUGUAGCGGUGAAAUGCGUAGAGAUCGGGAGGAACACCAGUGGCGAAGGCGGCCUACUGGGCUUUAACUGACGCUGAGGCACGAAAGCAUGGGUAGCAAACAGG